rnacentral:lncRNA from 13 species
AAACCACUAAAGGUUAAUAAGAAAUGAUGUUAGAAGCUUUUUUUUUGGACUGAAUUAUGUAAGCUAAACUGCUGAGGAGGCAAUGCCCAUCUUUUCAACAGUGUGUGAGUCCUGUUUCAUGAGGGGACAGCUCAGCAUAAUGCUGUGUUGAAAUGGCAUCUACCUUCAAAAUACCUGGAGAGAGUGCAGAUAAUCAAUUGGAGAAUGGCAGAGAUGUGGGACUUCCUCCCGCUGACAAAGCACUGCAGAAGAGGUUCUUUGAGGAAUGGUCAACCUGAACAGAGGAAUGUUUCUGAUAGUGAGUGAAAAUUUGUACAGCUUCUUGACAAAGACAAGAUUCCAAAAAACUCAAGAGAGGAUCAAACUGCCCAAACUUCAAAACACAUGCAUUCAGAUAUGUGUACAAAUUCCACAAGACUGGGUCAUGAAAAAUCUCUUAUCAUCUCCUCCGAUGGACAGAUACAAGGGACAAAAAAACCUGCAAGAAAACCCGAAAUAUCCUUUGAGUCUCAACUGGAAUGCAGAUUCAGCAACACUGAGCUGUAAGAGAAGUGGUAUCUAAUACAGAUAUUGGAAAAGGGCUACUUUG